CGGGUGAGUAAUGUAUAGGAAUCUACCUAGUAGUACGGAAUAAUUGUUGGAAACGACAACUAAUACCGUAUACGCCCUACGGGGGAAAAAUUUAUUGCUAUUAGAUGAGCCUAUAUUAGAUUAGCUAGUUGGUGGGGUAAUAGCCUACCAAGGUAAUGAUCUAUAGCUGAUCUGAGAGGAUGAUCAGCCACACUGGAACUGAGAUACGGUCCAGACUCCUACGGGAGGCAGCAGUGGGGAAUAUUGGACAAUGGGCGAAAGCCUGAUCCAGCCAUGCCGCAUGAGUGAAGAAGGCCUUUGGGUUGUAAAGCUCUUUUAGUGAGGAAGAUAAUGACGGUACUCACAGAAGAAGUCCUGGCUAACUCCGUGCCAGCAGCCGCGGUAAUACGGAGAGGGCUAGCGUUAUUCGGAAUUAUUGGGCGUAAAGGGCGCGUAGGCUGGUUAAUAAGUUAAAAGUGAAAUCCCGAGGCUUAACCUUGGAAUUGCUUUUAAAACUAUUAAUCUAGAGAUUGAAAGAGGAUAGGGGAAUUCCUGAUGUAGAGGUAAAAUUCGUAAAUAUUAGGAGGAACACCAGUGGCGAAGGCGUCUAUCUGGUUCAAAUCUGACGCUGAAGCGCGAAGGCGUGGGGAGCAAACAGGAUUAGAUACCCUGGUAGUCCACGCUGUAAACGAUGAAUGUUAAAUAUGGGGAGUUUACUUUCUGUAUUACAGCUAACGCGUUAAACAUUCCGCCUGGGGACUACGGUCGCAAGAUUAAAACUCAAAGGAAUUGACGGGGACCCGCACAAGCGGUGGAGCAUGUGGUUUAAUUCGAUGCAACGCGAAAAACCAAGCCCAUUUCUUUGACAUGAAAUAUAACCCCUUUUCA
rnacentral:rRNA from 1 species